rnacentral:rRNA from 1 species
CAAGGAGUAUAACAUGUGRGCGAGUCGCCGGGUCUCGUAGAAGCCCGCGGGCGCAAAGAAGUUGAUUUUUAUUAUACUGGUCGUGAUCCUCCACCUUUUAGGUGAGGGGCGCAACGACGGCCGUGCCGACAAUUCCUCCUGGUAGGGGUCGGCGGAGUCGGAGCACACACGUUGGGACCCGAAAGAUGGUGAACUAUGCCUAGGCAGGAUGAAGACAGGGGAAACCCUGUUGGAAGUCCGAAGCGCUUCUGACGUGCAAAUCGAUCGCCUGAUCUGCGUAUAGGGGCGAAAGACUAAUCGAACCAUCUAGUAGCUGGUUCCCUCCGAAGUUUCCCUCAGGAUAGCUGGCGCUCGAGUGAAAUUCAGUCACGGUCGGUAAAGCGAAUGAUUAGAGGCCUUGGGGCCGAAACGACCUCAACCUAUUCUCACACUUUCAAUGGUCGUAGAGUCCUCCUUUCUCGAUUGAAGGUCGGACGGUGGAUG